CUGGCCUGGAACCCAGAGUAGUGGGUGAGCCUAGGUUCCCCUAUUAGCUGCUGGGAAAGCAGCACUGGACUUGGCCUUGGGCUGGAAGGCUGACUGGAAUGGCCAAUGGGACUUUGAUACCCUGGAAGGGGAGAGCUAUAGUGAUCUGGUUGGAGGGCUGAGUCAUGAAGAAGGAGCACCCUGAAUCCCAGAGAAAGAUUGACACCACACAGUGAGGAACUGGCAGAUGGAGGCAUCAGACUGGUGGAGAGUUAAUUCCCAAGGUGGCCAGAAGGAGGUGCCCUAGUGGAGUUUCUCCUGCUCCUGGUUGGACGCUAACAGGCUCUGUAGGGAAGCAUGCAAUCUGGGUCCAGCAGCAAUGACUUUGCAGAUCACCUUCCUCUCGGCAGGCUGGGUUACGGAGAGAAGGAGGAGAGUAUGCUGUGAAGGCAGGGCAGUGUGAAGAAUAGAAGAGAGGCCAAGCCCUGUUUUAUCUAUUAGUACUUUUCCUUUUCCUUCUUUAUCAGAGAAGGCCCUUCUGUCUCACCUUGUUGCCUGAUUUGGGGAGGCCUCUUCUAGCUGAGUCCUCUGAAUCAUUUACUUGAAGAAUUCUCCGAAGCUGUCUCAAUGAAGAGCAUUCUUAGCUUUGAAAGUCACCUGGGUAUUUCCUGCCUGCUCCAAGCCAUGAAUCCUCAGAUCCUCUGUUUUGGUCUCAUUGUUUCAGAU